rnacentral:rRNA from 1 species
CGAGGACGAACGCUGGCGGCGUGCUUCAUACAUGCAAGUCGAACGAGAAGUUCACUUCGGUGAAUGGAAAGUGGCGGACGGGUGAGUAAUAUGUAGAGAAUCUGCCCUAGAGAGGGGGACAACAGUUGGAAACGACUGCUAAUACCGCAUAUGCGCGUAGCUGAGAGGCUAUUCGUGAAAACUUCGGUGCUCUAGGAUGAGUCUGCAUCUGAUUAGCUAGUUGGCGGUGUAAUGGACCACCAAGGCGACGAUCAGUAGCUGGUUUGAGAGGAUGAUCAGCCACAAUGGGACUGAGACACGGCCCAUACUCCUACGGGAGGCAGCAGUAGGGAAUUUUGCGCAAUGGGCGAAAGCCUGACGCAGCAACGCCGCGUGAUUGAAGAAGUAUUUCGGUAUGUAAAGCUCUAUCAGCAGGGAAGAAAGACCCGCAAGGGAGAUGACGGUACCUGACUAAGAAGCCCCGGCUAACUACGUGCCAGCAGCCGC